GAUGAACGCUGGCGGCGUGCCUAAUACAUGCCAGUCGAGCGAACAGACGAGGAGCUUGCUCCUUCGACGUUAGCGGCGGACGGGUGAGUAACACGUAGGUAACCUACCUAUAAGACUGGGAUAACUUCGGGAAACCGGAGCUAAUACCGGAUAAUAUUUCGAACCGCAUGGUUCGAUAGUGAAAGAUGGCUUUGCUGUCACUUAUAGAUGGACCUGCGCCGUAUUAGCUAGUUGGUAAGGUAACGGCUUACCAAGGCAACGAUACGUAGCCGACCUGAGAGGGUGAUCGGCCACACUGGAACUGAGACACGGUCCAGACUCCUACGGGAGGCAGCAGUAGGGAAUAUUCCGCAAUGGGCGAAAGCCUGACGGAGCAACGCCGCGUGAGUGAUGAAGGUCUUCGGAUCGUAAAACCCUGUUAUUAGGGAAGAACAAACGUGUAAGUAACUGUGCACGUCUUGACGGUACCUAAUCAGAAAGCAACGGCUAACUACGUG
rnacentral:rRNA from 1 species